rnacentral:rRNA from 1 species
CACGCCGUAAACGAUGGGUACUAGGUGUAGGAGGUAUCGACCCCUUCUGUGCCGGAGUUAACACAAUAAGUACCCCGCCUGGGGAGUACGGCCGCAAGGUUGAAACUCAAAGGAAUUGAC